UAACAGAUGCCAAUGUUCAGGUAUGAGUCAUAUCCUUGGGGUCUUCAAAGGGAGACCACAGGAUUGACUCCUAUGGGAAGUGGCUCACUUCCCUGAAUAAACAACUAUGAUGACAAUCAGAAGAACUCUGUGAUGAGCUAACAUCUUAUUUAUAGUAUAGUAGUAAAUUAUGACAGCACCUCCUAACAUCACAAAAGGAUAAUUUUAUAUGACAUGUGACAGUUUGAGGUGUU